CCCUUCUCCGUUCCUCACCAAACACCAGCCUUUCUUCUCUCAUAAACCAUCAUCAUUUAUAAUUAUAAAACCUCCCACCUUCCCCUCCAAAUCUCCUUCACAGGAAACCCUUCUUCCAUUCUCUUUUCUCUUCUCCCAUUUUCUUUUCUUGGAACACAACAAAAUCCAAAAGUUCGCCUUUGAGCUUCCAGAUGUGUGGUGGUGCGAUCAUCUCCGACUUCAUCCCGACGCCGGUGUCCUCCCGGCGGCCCAUCGCCGACUACAUCUGGCCGCACCUCAAUAAGGGCGGCGGUGGCGGCGGCAAGAAGGGGCGGAAGCAUGAGGUGGUGGAGAUCGACGACGAUUUCGAGGCCGACUUCGAGGACUUCAAGGACGAGUCCGAGGAGGAUGAGGAGGAAGAGAUCGACGUCAAGCCCUUCGCUUUUACCGCCAAGGCUCCCUUCUCUGGAGAGGGUUCAAUCACUCUAAAAUCAGGAGAAUUCAAUGGGCCUGCAGCUAGAUCAGCCAAAAGGAAGAGAAAGAAUCAAUACAGAGGAAUUCGUCAGCGUCCCUGGGGCAAGUGGGCAGCUGAAAUCAGAGAUCCCCGCAAAGGGGUCCGUGUUUGGCUAGGAACAUUCAACACUGCUGAAGAGGCUGCAAGAGCUUAUGAUGUUGAAGCCCGUCGUAUCCGGGGCAAGAAAGCUAAGGUGAACUUCCCUGAAGCACCUGCGAGUGCCCAAAAGCGUCGCCACAAACCAAAUGUGCAAGCACCAAAACCAGCAUUGGCAGAGGAACAGAAGUUUGAUCGGUCCUUAAACUCCCUAAAUAACCCAGAUUAUGAUUUGGAAGUGAAGGAGCUCACAAAACCUGAGUACCUGAAUUCCCUUUCCUCACUAGAAUCUUCUCCACCUUCUGGGGGCACUGGGUUAGUGCAUUUCCUCUCUGAUCAGGGAAGCAACUCUAUUGAUUGUUUGGACUUUGGAUGGGAACAUGAGACCAAGAAUCCUGAGAUCACAUCAUUUCUUGCUCCAAUUAUAACUGAAGGUGAUGAAUCCGGACUCAUGGAACAUGGUAGCCCUCAGAAGAAACUGAAAAACAAUUCUGAAGAGGCAAUACCAGCAGAUGAUAACUCUGCAAUGAAACUCUCUGAGGAGCUAUCUGCCUACGAAUCAUAUAUGAAGUUCCUGGAGAUCCCUUAUCUUCAGGGGAGUGCAGACGAGUCAAUUGACAGCCUCUUCAGCUGUGACGUUGCUCAGGAUGGACAGAGCACUGUAGAUCUAUGGAGCUUCGAUGACCUGCCCUUGGAGAACAGCAUUUUCUAAGGGAUCCUGGUGUUGGCUGCUGGUUUUCUGUAUAAAAGACAAUGAAUUAAUGUCAAUGGAUGAUGUGGAGGACCAGAAGUGUUUGUCAGCUGCAAUCAAUUGGAUUGAAUUGUGGAUUAUUAAAGUAUCUUUAGUAUUUUCAUAGCCCUAGCUGAUUAUUAAGCUAUAAAGAUGGCAGAUAGAAGGUUGCUUCAUAGCUGCAAUUUUUAUUGGGUGCUGAUGGUGAAAAUUUGAAUGAAACCUGGUUGUGGUGGAUACAUUUGAGUAUAUCGGUUUUGGUUCUUUUGAUGGAUUCCUUCCUUUGAUGAUGAUAUCUUGGCUUAUCUGGCUGUUUGCUUUCUAUUCAAAUUGUUGGCCUUUGUUUGAGAGGUACAAGGAAAUGCUCAUGAAGCGUGGUUCCUUUAACUAGGGCAAUGAAAGAUACACAUGCUCUCAUAUAAUGUUGAUGUAGCGUCCUGUUGCGAAUAACUCAAGGAGAUACUCCCAAAUGGUUUGCCAGAUUCUCAAGCUAGGGCAGUUAUGUGGGGGGCCUAAUCUGGCCUAAAUUAUGGGGGAGUGAAGGAGAAGAAUAGGAAGUAUGAGUUGGCACGCAUAGCUGCGUCCACAUGACAAGCCUUUAACCCCAUAGUUGGGGGGUGAUCUUGACCCAUGCCAUGACCCACCCUGUUGAGGACAUUGCGGGUAUGGUCUGAUCCAUGGACUUAUUUUUUUCAUGGAUUCCUAACAUAACCUUACUUCAUUGAAGGAAGGUGGAGUUGAGGAUGCUUAUAAGUUAUGCUGGUUGGUCUUAUGAUUAAAAAGAAAUGGAACGACAAUUUCAAGGAAAACGGAGUAAGCUAGAAGAAGCAAUCAUCCUGAGUCGGCGAUGAGGUGUCGGAUGCCGAUGAACAGUUUACUAGAAUGGAUAACUUGUGACGGGUGUAUCAGCAGCUCAAUAAGUUCAUCUACUUCAGCAUGUGGAGUUGUGAAGGUGAACUUUGAUGCAUCAUGGAAGAAUUGGAAGGCUCAUGACUGUGGUAAUAUUGGUAUGAGGAUCAUUUUAUGCAUCUACGAUGCCUAAAGCUGAAUUGAGAGCAGCUUAGGAAGGAUUUGCAUUGAGAAUGAGGGGCCUGUCUGAUGGACUAGUUUUCAACUCCUUACUUACCUACCCUUAUAUAUUAUAGGAAUGAACUAAAAAUUCCAAUGAUUACACAGCAACGGUAUAAAAGUUA